CUGGAGCUACACCAGCAGCUCUGGGUUCUCAGGCAUUUGAUCUCAGACUGGAACUAAACCAUUGAUUCUACUGCGUCUCCAGCUGGCUGAGUCACCUUGCAGAUCUUGGGACUUAUUCGCCUCCAUAAUCACGAAAUGAAGAAGAAUAAGCAAUCUGCCAUCAGAGAGAAGCGUCGAUUGACAAGAAUGCAAAGACACAGUAGGUGUAUGAUGUAGAAUACGUCCCUUGCCCUCUCUUGGCCUCAAUUUCUUCACAUGUGGUGGGAAGUAAUUUAAAGAAAACGGCAUAGAAUUUGACUUUAUUAUAACCGGAUGUGCACUCCCUUGAAUAAGUCCAAAGUCCGCUGGUUGAAAAAUGAUGAUCCAGCCAGCCACCAUCUUGUGAGCUGGCCUGUGAAAAACCCACAUGACAAGGAACAGUUGUCUCUGGAAAACAGCCAGCCCUGUUAACAGCUAUGUCAAUGAACUUGGAAGACGACACUCUCCAAGUUGUGCCUUGAGAUGGUGCCUCCCCUGCUGACACCUUGAUUAAAGUCUUGUGAGACAUCUUGAGCCAGUAUUUUAUAGAUUCAACAAGAAGACAAUAAUGAGGAGUAAAGAGAGAGUGACAACUGAGAUGCUACAACAUGACAUGAUUCUUUCUAAUGGUGUUCUUCUAGUCAGACAAAAGACAAGGAUUUCUGGAGAAAUGCUUUAAAGUAUUUAUAGAAAAUCAAUAUGUAUAUGAUUGUCUAGACUUGACUACUCAUGUGAAAACAGGAAUUUUAAUACAUUUUGAUUUUGUAUUAAUAAAAUCCGUAUUUCCAUGGCUAAAUAUGCUAUUUUAAAAUGUUAAAGAUAUAAAAU
rnacentral:lncRNA from 1 species